AUUGAACGCUGGCGGCAGGCCUAACACAUGCAAGUCGAACGAGUGGCGGACGGGUGAGUAAUGUCUGGGGAACUGCCCGAUGGAGGGGGAUAACUACUGGAAACGGUAGCUAAUACCGCAUACCAUCAGAUGUACCCAUAUGGGAUUAGCUAGUUGGUGGGGUAACGGCUCACCAAGGCGACGAUCCCUAGCUGGUCUGAGAGGAUGAUCAGCAACACUGGAACUGAGACACGGUCCAGACUCCUACGGGAGGCAGCAGUGGGGAAUAUUGCACAAUGGGCGCAAGCCUGAUGCAGCCAUGCCGCGUGUAUGAAGAAGGCCUUCGGGUUGUAAAGUACUUUCAGCGGGGAGGCGUUACCCGCAGAAGAAGCACCGGCUAACUCCGUGCCAGCAGCCGCGGUAAUAC
rnacentral:rRNA from 1 species